GAUGAACGCUGACAGAAUGCUUAACACAUGCAAGUCGACUUUGGUGGACGGGUGAGUAACGCGUAAAGAACUUGCCUCACAGUUAGGGACAACAUUUGGAAACGAAUGCUAAUACCAGAUACUGUGAGAGAGCGUUGCGUCCCAUUAGCUAGUUGGAGAGGUAACGGCUCAACAAGGCGAGGAUGGGUAGCCGGCCUGAGAGGGUGAUCGGCCACAAGGGGACUGAGACACGGCCGUAAGUCAUCCGUGAGGCAGAAGUGGAGAAGAUUGGACAAUGGACCAAAGUCUGAUAAAGAAAUUCUGUGUGCACGAUGAAGUUUUCGGAAGGUAAAGUGCUAUCAGUUGGGAAUCGGUACCAACAGAAGAAGUGACGGCUAAAUACGUGCCAGCAGCCGCGGUAAUUC
rnacentral:rRNA from 1 species